UACGGAGGGAGCUAGCGUUGUUCGGAAUUACUGGGCAUAAAGCGCACGUAGGCGGCUUUGUAAGUUAGAGGUGAAAGCCCGGGGCUCAACCCCGGAAUUGCCUUUAAGACUGCAUCGCUUGAAUCCGGGAGAGGUGAGUGGAAUUCCGAGUGUAGAGGUGAAAUUCGUAGAUAUUCGGAAGAACACCAGUGGCGAAGGCGGCUCACUGGACCGGUAUUGACGCUGAGGUGCGAAAGCGUGGGGAGCAAACAGG
rnacentral:rRNA from 1 species